rnacentral:rRNA from 1 species
ACGUAGGGGGCGAGCGUUGUCCGGAAUCACUGGGUGUAAAGGGUGCUCAGGAGGGUCGAUAAGUCAGAGGUGAAAUUUCACAGCUUAACUGUGAAUGUGCCUUUGAUACUGUCGGUCUAGAGUUCAGAAGAGGGCAAUGGAAUUCUUGGUGUAGAGGUAUAAUGCAUAGAUAUCAAGAAGAACACCCAUUGCGAAGGCGGUUGCCUGGUCUGUAACUGAUGCUCAAGCACGAAAGAGUGGGGAUCAAACAG